rnacentral:rRNA from 1 species
UACGGAGGGUGCAAGCGUUGUCCGGAAUCACUGGGCGUAAAGGGCGCGUAGGCGGCUCAUGAAGGCUGUGGUGAAAGUCCGGGGCUCAACCUCGGAUCGGCCGUGGCGACUCGUGGGCUGGAGCACUGUAGAGGCGGGUGGAAUUCCGGGUGUAGCGGUGGAAUGCGUAGAGAUCCGGAAGAACACCAGUGGCGAAGGCAGCCAUCUGGACCGACACUGACGCUGAGGCGCGAAAGCGUGGGGAGCAAACAGG